UACGGGGGGGGCAAGCGUUGCUCGGAAUUACUGGGCGUAAAGGGCGCGUAGGCGGCCUUCUAAGUCGGACGUGAAAUCCCUCGGCUUAACCGGGGAACUGCGUCCGAUACUGGAUGGCUUGAGUAUGGGAGAGGGAUGCGGAAUUCCAGGUGUAGCGGUGAAAUGCGUAGAUAUCUGGAGGAAUACCGGUGGCGAAGGCGGCAUCCUGGACCAUUACUGACGCUGAGGCGCGAAAGCUAGGGGAGCAAACGGG
rnacentral:rRNA from 1 species